UGGCUGGAAGGGUGUUUUGUUGUUGCUCUUAUUGUGUUUUACACUGUUAAAAAAGACUAGGUUUUUGUUUCCACACUAAUUUCUUACUUAGGAAAGUUGCUUUGUAUCUGUGUCAAAGGUAUUCAACAAUACUUUCUUUCCUUUUCAGGUCACAGAUUUAUAAGAGUGGUUUACAGCUAGUGCUGCCCUGCAGUGGUGUGGACCCAGACUUCAUGCACAAAGAUCAGGCUGUGAUUUCACACAUCUGAUAAGAACACGGACUCUCAGGUAGCUCAUAAAUUCCAGGAUCUCAUCCAGUGCGUCAACAGGCAGAUGGAGGGCCAUUCCCACCAACAUCUCUACCAGCGCUACCUCUGCCUGGAGGAGUUUCUUCUUCUCCUCCAACUUCUGUACCCGGAAUAAAUGGUAAACCAUCAUGACCACUACUACUUUUGUUUGAAGACCUCAUCCUUCACUACCACCUUUCUUGGGCGUCCUUCUGCUCCAGGAUCAUUACUUGCUCCAAUUGAUGGAAUGAAGCAGAAAUAAAUAUAUAAACUUGAA